UAUCUACCCUUCAAAUAUUGGCUUCCCUCGGAGAACAGUUGGGAAAUGAAGAUGUUAGUGGUUGCUCUAAUCAACUAUGCAAUAGCAAGAACAAACAACUGAACGUGAACUCAAAACCCAUCCCAACCCAAAUUACAAUACAUGUGCUAGAAAUAUUCGUCUCUUAUUGGGUUAUACGGCAAUUGUGAUAUUUGUUUUGAUUAAUGUUCUCAUCUACGGUGUGUUACUUUUGAGUUUAUGGGUCUACAUGGUUAUACGAGUAGC
rnacentral:misc_RNA from 1 species